rnacentral:rRNA from 1 species
CAAGAGUUCACAUCGACGGGGAGGUUUGGCACCUCGAUGUCGGCUCAUCGCAUCCUGGGGCUGUAGUCGGUCCCAAGGGUUGGGCUGUUCGCCCAUUAAAGCGGUACGCGAGCUGGGUUCAGAACGUCGUGAGACAGUUCGGUCCCUAUCCGUCGUGGGCGUAGGAAAUUUGAGAGGAGCUGUCCUUAGUACGAGAGGACCGGGAUGGACAUACCUCUGGUGUACCAGUUGUCGUGCCAACGGCAUAGCUGGGUAGCUAUGUAUGGACGGGAUAAGUGCUGAAAGCAUCUAAGCAUGAAGCCCCCCUCAAGAUGAGAUUUCCCAACUUCGGUUAUAAGAUCCCUCAGAGAUGAUGAGGUUAAUAGGUUCGAGGUGGAAGCGUGGUGACACGUGGAGCUGACGAAUACUAAUCGAUCGAAGACUUAAUCAAUUU